rnacentral:rRNA from 2 species
UGACCUCGGAUCAGGUAGGACUACCCGCUGAACUUAAGCAUAUCAAUAAGCGGAGGAAAAGAAACCAACAGGGAUUGCCCCAGUAACGGCGAGUGAAGCGGCAACAGCUCAGAUUUGGAAUCUGGCCCCUAGGGCCCGAGUUGUAAUCUGGAGAGGAUGUUUCUGGCGCGGCGCCUUCCGAGUUCCCUGGAACGGGACGCCGGAGAGGGUGAGAGCCCCGUACGGUUGGACGCCUAGCCUUUGUGAAACUCCUUCGACGAGUCGAGUAGUUUGGGAAUGCUGCUCAAAAUGGGAGGUAAAUUUCUUCUAAAGCUAAAUACCGGCCAGAGACCGAUAGCGCACAAGUAGAGUGAUCGAAAGAUGAAAAGCACUUUGAAAAGAGGGUCAAACAGUACGUGAAAUUGUUGAAAGGGAAGCGCCCGUGGCCAGACUUGUACCCCGCGGACCAUCCGGCGCCCUCAGCGCCGGUGCACUCCGUGGGGCGCAGGCCAGCAUCGGUUUUCCUAGGGGGAUAAAGGCGGCGGGAACGUAGCUCCCUCGGGAGUGUUAUAGCCCGCCGUGCCAUGCCCCUGGGGGGACCGAGGACCGCGCUCGGCAAG